UGAUUGUUUCUCGGAGGGCCGCGCCGGCUGGCUCAUCGGUUCUCUAGGUGUAGUCCCAUUCCUGGCCCGCAGUCCUCACAAUCGAUAUCAACAAAACUACAACGUCUGUAGCAAAACAUACAUAUACAACACUAUUCAAAAUGAACCACAUAAUCGAUAACAACAAACAAUUGAACAACACUAACAGCUGUAACAAAAAGUAAAUGUAAACAACAAAGAUCGGGCCCCGGUUCCGGACCCCGCGUACCCUGAGACGAUCACCUGAUCUCGUCUCCGUCAUUUUGGCCACUACAUGGCCUGCAUCAGCUCGUGUCGGCUGUUAUGCCCACUCUCCCUAUCAAUUGAGACUUAGCCGGACAUUUCUCUCUUCAGUAGGGUAUCCCCAUUCUGCAAUUUAUUCUAUGCAAGCUGACAUUGGCUUCAAUUCAAUACAUUUUAUUUAAUUUACUACAUUAAAUAGAAGAGGCGACGAAACACUGCAAAGUUAUUGCCAGUCGCCACAAAAAAGAAAACAAGAAAGCAAUUAUGAGGUAAUCGUUGCAGGUAGGUGAUAUAUAUAUUCAAUCGCUUAAUUCUACCGUACCCAGCCUAAAGAGCUCUUUGGGGGUGGUAAGGGGCGAUAGAAAGGGGUAAUUCAAGUUAGGUAUGUAUGUGAGUAUUGUUCGCGCAAGUACCA